rnacentral:lncRNA from 1 species
GGGGCUAGGAAGGUCUGACUACGGUCCUACAAACACCGAUCCGAACGUGGUGGAAUACGUCGACCGUUAGGGCUGUCACUACCCUAGGGCUACCACAACAAUCCGUAGGAUUGGGUGCAAUUCCAGGUAAUCACAAGACUAAACACCACGUCUAAUCUAUUAAUUACUACUCUAAUGUUUCAAAGACUAGAGCACUUGAUGCAAGCGGGAAUCCAAUAAAUAACUUGAAUGUAAAUAAAAGCAAUUAGAGAACUCAGGAGUUAUGAGUUGAAGAACCUGGAGAACGAUGAAGAAUGAACCAGAUGCUGCAAAAGUACAAUGUUGAGGAAGAUCCGACAGAUCCGGCUCCUCCUCCGCUCUCCUCUUCUCUCCCCCUAUUUUCUAGAUUACAACUAGAACUAACUAGAACUAGAACUAGAGGAACUAGAACUAGAACUAGAUGAACUAGAACUAGAUCUAGAUGAACUAGAGGUAGAACUAGAAGAACUAGAGGGAUCCUCUCUACUUGGAUGAAGAAUUGAAACCCUAACUUUGAUUCUGUAGAAGAGGUAUGAUCUCCAGGGGCCAGGAGGCCUUGCUUAUAUAGUCUUUUCAGAUGAAUCUGGGCCGUCGGAUCAAACCGACAUUGGUCGUGUGGUUUUUCUUGAAGUAUUAGGUCGGUGGAGCAUGAUCCGCGAAACGUGUCCUGAUUGGGCACUGUAGCUGGGCGGGCGCCCAGGAGAGUUGGGCGGGCGCCCUGCCUCCGAGCCCGAUUUCCUUCCCGUUCGUUCCCGUGGCUUCUAGAGUCUUCUAGAUAAUAGACCCGACGUGUGGGCCUUUCUUCCGUAUUUCCUGAUAACCCCCUGUAGAAAUAGACAAACACCAAAACUUGUAGAAUUCUGUCAGAUAAAACCCUAAGUCUAGGUGUUGGUUGCAUUUAGAUCCUUUUCCAUGAUUAAUUGAUGGUUAAAUAUGAGCAUUAAGGACCGUCAACAAGCUCCCCCAAGCUUAACCUUUGCUCGUCCCUGAGCAAAGAUGAACUCAAGAGUUUCUGCAGUGGUUUCAUAACUUAAAGAUACACAUGCGUUUAAACAAGAUCUCAUCUCUGGUUAGAGUAAACUGUUAAGACUUAAAACUUACUCAUUUACCUUUCACCAUGGGACUUGUAACCGUCACUUCUGUCUUGAGUAGUUAAAAGAUAGAACAGUCUAGUCAAGCGCCAUGUCUCUUGUUCUUCGAUUAACUAUAGCUCUGGAGUUUUUGCAGAUUUUCAAAUAAAACUCAGAGAUUCCUUGUAUGACUCUCUCUAGUCUCUUUUUUGUGGUAUUUCUGGAUGCUUACCAAGGCAGUAAUGGUGUAUACCUUCUCUCAAAGUAUGUGGUAUUUUUGGUAUGAGGCAUAGUGACAUUGCCUUCUCUCUCACCCUACUCUAAUAAGGCUUUUGAUAUCUGGAGCUCAUAGGUGCGAGACAGCUAAUACAUACUUACAAGACAUUUAUUGCAUAGUCAAACCAUGGAUCCAGAAGAACAAGUCAAUAAGUCAAAUCAAGAUGUGCAUGUGUGGCGAAUGAAUGGUGUAUGGUGAUGAUGGUGAUAACGAUGGUGAAAGUCUAAUUCUACUUAUGCUCUUUUGAGGGGAUACAUACCUUUCUUGCUCUUUUGAAACUUUUUGAGGAGAAUGAGAUGCUCUAUAUUUUCUUUUUCUUUCCUCUCAGGUGGGUAUCUUGUACCCCUAAUUCUACUGUCGGACACUUGUCCAUUUUUACCUCUCGUCUCACUUUUUUCUUUCUUUCGAGGUUCCGGGCACUUGCCCCUUUUUAUUUCCUCGUAUUUUUUUUCUAUUUUUUUUAGAGCACUCAUCUCUUGAAAUAAUGUAGCAAGUGGUAGUAACCAAGAUAACUUGAGCAUUUAUUUCACAAGGGAAAAACAGAAAUGUUUUUGGCUAUUCUCUCCCGGAUUAGGAGUAGAAUAUUUUUGGGUGGUUCUAGAGAUGGAAAUGGAUGGAUAUAUGUGGAUGCGUACUUCCAGAGUAGAAGCAACAUGUGUGAGUGAACGUGCAAGUGAAUCUUGAUUUAACCACAUGAGAAGCUCCUAAGGGUCUACAUAGCUUGACCACACUCAAUGCUCAUAAGCAGUAAAAAGUAAAUGUGUGGCUCAUAGUCUAACAAGCAUGUAUGUAUGGCUGUGGUAGGAAUUUAAACUCUCAUCAUACAGGAACUCAUCAUGUGUUAUUUUAAAGAUUUUCAAAGAUGAAAUUCUCCAGAAUUCUAGCAUCUCUAGGAACAGAUAAACAGCAGCUCAACCUUCCCAUAUCGUAUCCGUUAACGACUUAGACUUUAGAUCAAGUACUCUCCCCACAAGUUCAGGUUUAGAGCAAAUCUUAAUUAAUAACAGUCAUGCCUAAACUUGAGAGAGAUUUCAAUUUUGAGAACUAGUCAUGGCAGAGCAACUAUUCAUCAUUUCCAUGUGAGAGCUUAUCAUGAGGGUUCAUAGCUAACUUUAUUUAUUUAUUUAUUUAGCAAACUAAGCAAAGAUAUCUAAGCACAAAAUCUUUAUUUGGGUUUUUAUGAUUAUGCAUCUUUUUAUUAUUUGAGUAAAGUAUAAAUGUGAGUAAAAUACUUAGCUAGAUAAAUGGGGGUGCUCUCCCCCAAGCUGGAUUUUGACGCAAUUUCUUCUAAUGUAGCUAGCAGGCGGCGGAGGUGUAUUUGAAUGUUGGCAGCACCCUGACAGUGAUUAGGAUGUCCUCCGUCUGCUAGUCUUCUUUGAUCCUUGAAUUCUGUGGAGCUCAAAUAGACAACAAAGCUUUGUGGAACUGGUUAAGUGUUAGCAUAAAUAUCUAGCCUUUAUCAUGUUGAGCCUCCUCAAUAAAUGUUACUCUCUUUAGUAGGAUCAUAAAUUUAUUUUUAUAAUUUUAUAUUUAUAGGACAGGAAUAUAUUUAUUUUAUUUUUAUGCCACCACAGUGAAUGUACUUAUGGGUUUUAUGUCAUGAGCAUACUCACAUGGGGCUUACUAUUUUUAACAUUUUUAUUUUCUUUCCAAGAUGAUAUGAACCUGAUUAACUAAGCAAACUAUUUUAAAUAAUUAAAAGGAAAAAGAUAACUACCAAGUUUACCUCUUGGCAAGGCGUUCGGUGUUUUUAAGUCCUCCGAACGGGACUCUCUGCUUUCUCAGUCGUCCUGGGAUUCGCUAGAUGGCGUAGUCAGUGGUUCCGGCGGUGCCUCCUCUUCAUGUAUAACUAUCUUCUCUCUGCACACCUGACUCGGUGCUACGGUCUCCUCAGGACAGUUCUGUUCAAGUUGUUUGUCUUCAGACCUUACCACUUCUCCUUCGUAGUCUGCCCAUCCAUCUUUGAUGAUUUGCCUCCUCUGGUUGCGGUUGCGUCGUCUUCUUCUUGUCCGGACCUGCUUAGAGUCUUCAACUAUAUAGUUAGGGUCAGUUAAAUAGCGGCGUACCUUCUCAGAGGGGAAGUUCAUGUGGAUUUCUCCGGUUCCAAUGUAGAUGAUUGCUUUAACGGUGCUGAGGAACGGUCUUCCAAGGAUGACGGGUGGAUUGUGCUCGUCUUCUCCCAUGUCAAUAACCUUCAAUCUUUCAGAAUGUCUGGAGCUGAAAGUAUGUUGGUUGUAGGAACAUGGUUCCAUGCAGGAGCUGAUAAGUGACUGCGGCCAUUAUGUUGACGUUAGAUCCGGUGUCGUAGAGUGUCUUCUGAAAAGAAUAUCCGUUGAUUGUGCACUCGAUGAUUGGAACACUAGGGUCGUCCUUCUUGAUCAAGAAAGGCGACUUGAGUUGACGAUCUUGACCUCCUUGAGCUGCAGUGACCAUCUUAGCUGACUCAGUCCACAUUUGCUUGUUCCUGUUCCCCCUGUUGAUCAUCUCCCUUGGUUUAUGUCAGGAAUGCUCUGAGAUUUGUGUAGUCUUGUUUUUGAAGGAAAACGUCUCCUUCCUCCCCUUGAUGUAGAAACUAAUCUUGGCAGCACUAGCGUAGAUGACAGCUCCCGAGGUGUUCAGGAAUGGCCUCCCUAGGAUGAUGGGUGCCCUCUCAUCAGUAUCAGUCUCUAUCACCACGAAGUCUGCUGGAGCGUAUAAGGUACAAACUCGGACGUAGAGGUUCUUCAAUAUUCCCUUUGGGAAACUUAGCGUAUGAUCUGCAAGCUGCAAACACAUGGCUGUCUCUAAUAAAGGAUGUGUAAAUAAUUUUUCAUAGAGUACCCUGGGCGUAAUGUUGACACUGGAGCCAAAGUCGCAGAGUGCUUCUAGGAAGUCCACCAUGCCGAUGGAGAUCGGGAUGACGGGGCGUCCUGGAUUGUCUCUCUUGACCGGCAGAAGGUCAGUAAUUACUUCCACAACGGGGUUACUCCAGUAGUUACGUCCUCAAGCAUCUCAGGGCAGUGAUUGCCUGAGUGUCCAGUGUCUCCAGUGUGUGUGUGCUCAUAGACCUAGGUUCUUCACUUUGGUGGAGUUUGGGAGUUGUAAAACUCCUUCAUAUUUUGCUCAAAGUGUACCUGCUCAUAGAGACAAGGCAGAGAUCAAGUGCAUGGGCCCUGUUGGUGGAAAACACCAACAGAACCAAAAGUGUAUUUGUUCUCCUCUAACCUCAAGCAUAGUGAGCAAGACAAAGUUGAUGGAUAAUAAGAUCAUGAGUGUAGCAUUUAAAACAUUUGUCAGAUAAGAUCGCUCAACCUAAUGGAAAGAUAAUCUAUAUAUACUUAUGUUUUUUAUAUAUAUCUUCCAAAGAUUGAGUGUGCAACCUUUUAGCUCAUAUGAUUAGGAGUGUGGGAUCACAAAGGUGGAAGGACUAAACAUGUUGAAUCGAUUGGGUUGGUUAAUCUAGAGUUGUAAAUCAUACAUGUUUGUCUCUUAUAUUCAUGUGAACGCCAGAACCAAGGAGAAGCUUAUAGAAGUGAUAGUCAAGUACCUUAAGAUGUUACCUUACUUGAAGAGUGAUGGUACAGUAUCACCUUGUGGAAGCUUUCCUCUCUUAGCGGUUGUGCAUCGUGUUUGUGGCACCCUCCAUGGAUCAUCUCUUGUGAGCUAUGCCUUCCUCGUGCAAAUUGUUAAACUUCAUGUGUCUUUCUCUUUGUCUCCAAUGUGAGUUUAUCUCAGGACUUCCCAGGUCGAUAUUGAAAGUUUUCCAGUAGGGGUUAGUCCAACAAAAUAUCCAAUAUCUACUAUAGCAUACUAUCGGCUCAUAGAUCAACCUAGACACCAUGUCUAAUUUGAUUUAGGAGGGAAUUUUAACCUAAGCAUCAUGCUUAAUUUAAAAUCCUUUGGAAGUAAGAUCAUCAUUCCUAAACUAAGCACCAUGCUUAAUUAAGAGAUAAAUGAAACUACUCCAAGCCUAGACAUAUACUAAAGCAAAUAAAGGUAGCAUGAGAGCAUUUAUAGAGAUCUACUCAAGUGAAGAUGAAGUAGUGUGAUUAGUAUUUAACAGAUUGAGCAUGUCUCAAAGGUAGGGACAACCAACGUAGCAACAUGGCAAAUGAUGUUUUUAUGUAAAGUACUCCCCCAAGCUUGAAUUUUGCAAAAUUCAAGUUUGGAUGAAUUUAAUUCAAUGUUGUAUGAUGAUUGGUUGGACAUACCUUGUGCUUGUCAUUCAUCCGAUCUUCUUGCUCUAAUCCUGAAAAGGUUAGUGACAAGAAUACCCGAAGGAAUUUUUUACAAUUAUCCUUAUAUGCUCAAUACACAAGGUAAUGUUGUAAAUAAUUAAGAGCUUAUGUUACAAUCUGAUCAGUGCUUGUUUUAGGACACUAAGCUUGUCCUUGGGAAACCAUUAAUUUAUGUCAGAGAAGUGGUUUCCCCUCCAACUCUGACCUAUAUCAAGAUCAACUCAACGAGAUUUGCAAUAUUUAUUAUAGACAUAUGCAUCGACAACCGCCCUUUUAAAGUUUUUAUAAAUAGAAAGGAUGAGAGGAUUCGAGAUCUCGAAUGUGGUGAUGUUGGAAAAACCAAUGGAUUGGGAAGAUGUUGCAUAUGAGCAUGGAGUAAAUGAAGUGGCUAUGAAAUAAAUUCCAUGUUCAUUAAUGCUUAGAGUGAAAUCCAUGUGGUAUGGUGAAAAUGAUAUGGUGAGUGCGGUAAAAAAGGAAAAUAAAAAGGAUACACGGACGACUUGGUUCGAAACUAGCACAGCUACCGUUCCCCGGCAACGGUGCCAGAAAGCUUGUUGGGUAUUUUAAACGCAAACAGAAAAAUCCGCAAGCGCACAGAUACCGAUGUAGCUUUCACCCGGGAGUAUUCCAGAGUAUCGAUUUUCCACAGAGAACGUGAGUGUACUAAUUAAGACCCAAGAUCGCCCAAGGAUAACUAUAUAAUUGUUUUUGGUGGGAAGAGAGGAAGUUUCCUGAGAGUUCUCUAGUUGAUCUAAGAAUCAAGAAUUACUUCAAGAUUAUCUAUUUCGGGACAUCAGAGCACUAACCACGGAAAGAGAUGAGAAGGGGGCUAGAAAGGUCUGACUACGGUCCUACAAACACCGAUCCGAACGUGGUGGAAUACGUCGACCGUUAGGGCUGUCACUACCCUAGGGCUACCACAACAAUCCGUAGGAUUGGGUGCAAUUCCAGGUAAUCACAAGACUAAACACCACGUCUAAUCUAUUAAUUACUACUCUAAUGUUUCAAAGACUAGAGCACUUGAUGCAAGCGGGAAUCCAAUAAAUAACUUGAAUGUAAAUAAAAGUAAUUAGAGAACUCAGGAGUUAUGAGUUGAAGAACCUGGAGAACGAUGAAGAACGAACCAGAUACUGCAAAAGUACAAUGUUGAGGAAGAUCCGACAGAUCCGGCUCCUCCUCCGCUCUCCUCUUCUCUCUCCCUAUUUCUAGAUUACAACUAGAACUAACUAGAACUAGAACUAGAGGAAAUAGAACUAGAACUAGAACUAGAUGAACUAGAACUAGAUCUAGAUGAACUAGAGGUAGAACAAGAAGAACUAGAGGGAUCCUCUCUACUUGGAUGAAGAAUUGAAACUCUAACUUUGAUUCUGUAGAAGAGGUAUUCUCUCUAGGGGCCAGGGGGCCUUGCUUAUAUAGUCUUUUCAGAUGAAUCUGGGCCGUCGGAUCAAACCGAUAUUGAUCGUGUGGUUUUCCUUGAAGUAUUAGGUCGGUGGAGCAUGAUCCGCGAAACGUGUCCUGAUUGGGCACUGUAGCUGGGCGGGCGCCCAGGAGAGUUGGGC